CCUACGGGAGGCAGCAGUGAGGAAUAUUGGUCAAUGGACGAGAGUCUGAACCAGCCAAGUAGCGUGAAGGAUGACUGCCCUAUGGGUUGUAAACUUCUUUUAUAUGGGAAUAAAACAGGGUAUGCAUACCCUCUUGUAUGUACCAUAUGAAUAAGGAUCGGCUAACUCCGUGCCAGCAGCCGCGGUAAUACGGAGGAUCCGAGCGUUAUCCGGAUUUAUUGGGUUUAAAGGGAGCGUAGGUGGAUGGUGAAGUCAGUUGUGAAAGUUUGCGGCUCAACCGUAAAAUUGCAGUUGAAACUGGCAGUCUUGAGUACAGUAGAGGUGGGCGGAAUUCGUGGUGUAGCGGUGAAAUGCUUAGAUAUCACGAAGAACUCCGAUUGCGAAGGCAGCUUACUGGACUGCAACUGACACUGAUGCUCGAAAGUGUGGGUAUCAAACAGGAUUAGAUACCCUAGUAGUC
rnacentral:rRNA from 1 species